rnacentral:lncRNA from 1 species
GAUAUCAUCCUGGAGGAGGAUGGUGAAUGUUGAAAUAUCUGAAUGACGGCCUACUCCCACUGUGAGUUCAGGAUUGGGACACAUAGGAUAGUAGUUGAGGUUAACUCUUCUUGAACCCAACAACAUAGGUUCUCUUAUUUCAUCAAUUCGUUUCACAUUUAGCCCCUUGACUAGCACAUGCAUUAAACGUCUAAUGAGAACCUCAGAACUCUUCAUGUACUCCAACGUUUCAUCCCUAUAAGCAAAAACAAAAAAUAAAAAGUAAAAAAAAAAUAAAAAUAAAAACAUUCAGUACACAAUCUUAGGUAUCAUGUUUGGUAUUGUGGUGAUAUAGUUUGAAAGUUACUGUGAACCAAAAGUGGUAACUAUAUAAUAAAAGUUAUGAUAAUGUAGUAAUACGACUUUUAAAAAUAAGUUUUAUAAAAAUAAUAAAGAUAUGAUAAGUUUUUUAUUAUACAAGUAGUGGAGAUUUAGUAUAUUUAAAAGUAUAUGUAUAUGUUUAUGUAUGUGUGUGUCUGUGUGUGGGCACUUACUUGCAAACAGGAGGCCAAAAUGCAGAAGUUUCUUCCUCAGAACCAUAAAAUAGGCUGAGAAAGUCUUUCCACUCCAAAGCCUUUUCCACAAGAGGAACAAAGCUCGAGCCGAGCCUCACUUUAUUGGUUGGUGAAUUCUCUUUUGAGUACUUCCUCUUCUCCUCUGCCGGUAACGCGAAAAACCUGUGGGUCGCUUCCUUUACUCUCUCGAGUACUUCCAGGGGCACACCAUGAUUCACAAUCUGGAAAAACCCCCAAUUCUCAGCGGCAUCGCAAAUGGAUUUUGCGACUUCAGGACUCUCCCAGUUUGACAUAUCAAUGAGGGGAAUUGAUACUUGAUCCAGGAUUUUCUUCUCACUGAAUCUUUCUUCCAAGGGUUGGUGAAAUUGUUUUGGGAGGCUUUUGAGUCCCAUUUCGGAGAGACCCUUCACUCCAUGACCUUUGUUUAUAACUGUGGACUUGAGUGCAAUGAAUCGAAAACUCAGAGUCCCAAAACGGUUUCGUUUUGAUCAAAUUGUUCAGUCAUUUGUCACGUGCAGCACGAGGUUUUUAAGUUCAAAGGCUAAACAACUCAGCAGCUGUCGUUUUGGAUGAACUUAAGUGAAGCACGUGGCCAGCUCGUGAAGAAGCGAAUCAAGGCUGUUAAAAACCGUUACACACGUGUCCAGAUUCUGAGCAAUCUGGGUUUCAGCAUCAGUGGUAUAAAACUGGUCGCUGAGGGAGAAACAGACGUGGUUCUGAGAGAGCUUGAGAGAGAGAUCAGAAAGUGAGAGAGGUUAUUCUUGUUGCUUGUAAUCUCUUGUUUAGAAGCUCUGUAUUUGUCUUCUUGAUUCAUCAAUAAAGCUUUUCCUGUGGCUUUUCCCGUGAAUGUAAAUUGUGCAUGUAAUGCACAAUUGAACCACGUAAGAUUCUGUUCUUGUGUGUUGUUUCUUGUUUAGGUUAAAACACUGUGAUAUUAAUCAUUAGAUCUAGAGCCUAUUGGAAUUGAGUUGGGAACUUGAUAUCUAAUCUUGGUUUCUUCUGCAUCUUGUUUGAUCAAGAACUUGAGUCUUCUGGGCAGUGGCUUAGCAUCUUGAAUCUUAAGGGGUGUUAAAUCACUACAAUAACAAAAUCAACAAUAUCCCAGGACUCAGUUGCGAGGGUAGAGCCAUUUGUUGGUGCCAUUUUUGCUUGGACUUAGCUCUCCAAGAUGGAUGGAUUAUGCUUGGUGAUGCUGCAAGUAAUUAACAUUAUUAAUGCUUAUUUAUAGUGAUUGAUUGAUUGAUGCAUUUGAUAGGUACCGAAAAAAUUCAGACAACUGAUUAUGACAUGGUUUACUUUUUUUGAAAAAUGGCAAUGGCAUGUCAAACUUGGUAUAAUAUAAUUAGAAAAAAAUGAUUCAGUUGUUUAGGAUUUUCAGUCAGUAGCAUGUCUUUUUCCCAAAAUAGUAUUACUAUUCAGUAAAAAUUGUCAAUUUGUUACAUGUAUAAUUUUAUGUGUCGUUUAUUUAUUUCUUAUCUCUAAAUGAUGAUUGAGUGAAGUCAUUUUGAGUGCUUCCCUCUUCUUUUCUGCUUAAGAAAUCUUGCUAUGCUUUCAAAAAUAAGGCCCCUUUGGACUUAUUUUUGAGAGUCUCAAAAUUGAUUUUAAAAAGUUAAAAUCUAAUUUUGAUUUUUGGUAAUUUUUUAACUUAUUUUUGAUAAAAUUACUUAUUUUACAUCAGAUUUUGAAAAGUAGAAGAAGAAUAAUUUUUUAAAAUGUGAUUUUGAGAAUCAAUUUUAUACUUAAUUGAAUUCCAUAUAUAUCCUGAUAUAUAUUAUAAAAGUUUGAAAUUAUUCUUAUUCAAUUAGGAAAUAGAAUGGUUUAAACUUAACAACAUGAUUAUUAUUGGCAACUAUAUUAGCAUAAAAAAUAAAAAUUAAUGAAGUAAAAAAGAUAUUAUAUAUACACAUUUAUUAAUGUGUAAAUAAAUUUUAUCUAACAUUAUAUCCAUUUUACUCAUUUUCAUUUUUAAAGCAGUUCAACAAUAAGUUUUAUUAAACAUAUACUACUAAUUUCUAAAAUAGAUUUUAUUAAACAUUUAACUAAUUUUCUUUAUUGCUUAUUGUUUUUAUAGCACAGUUAACGAUAAUUAUUUUAAAAGUUACAAUAUUACCAAAUUGACCCAUAGUCUUUUGAUUAUUUAACUAAUGGGAUUAGUUGGCUAAGCUAGCUUGUUAAUCAAGUGUUAGGAUUUCUCUCUCAUGAUUUCUUGCAAUUAAUUCUUUACUAUGGUGUAUGCUUUUUCAUCCUUACAAUAAAAAUAGUUAUUUUUUUCUUUUUUUUUUUUGAGAGAAAAAAGUAGUUACUCUCAUUGUGAUGUUGUAUGUGAAGUGUCAUCAUAUUUGAUAUUACUAAAAUGUUAUAAAAAAAGAAAAAUUGUUUUGCUAGAGUCUAAAAAAAUUUUGGCAAACAUAUAUGUAAGCUGCCUUAGGUGAAAGAGUCAUUUGGGUUUUACUUAGUUUGCUUUCUGUUUCAAUAAAUCAUAGUCUUUGGGGAUGUUGUUAUUUGACUUAUUCUUUGUUAAACACGUAGCUAAGAUAAUGGCUAACGUGUCCUAUUUAUAUGCUUUCUGUUAGUGUUGAAAAUGGCUAUUAAAAGCCAAGUUGAGUUUCAAUAAAAAGAUGUCAUUCAAUCCACUUUAUUAAGCUCUCGUUACUGCAGCCAAUUGAUUCUAACAAAUUGGUAUCAGAGCGAGGCGAGUGACUUGCAAACAAAGGAGAGUUUGAGAGAUGUCAAGUGCAAGCGAAGGUUCUUUCGUCCAACCAGCCAUUCCACGUUUUGAUGGUCAUUACGACCAUUGGAGUAUGCUCAUGGAGAACUUCUUAAGGUCCAAGGAAUACUGGAGUGAAAUACAAGUGUGCAACCUAAGAGAGGGGUGAAUUGAGAUUCUAAAAAUUAUUUGAUUCUAAAACAAAUUAUCAAGCAAAUCUAAAAUGAAUUUAAUGGAAUAACAAUUAAAUCAAUUACAAUAUAAAAAGAUAAGGGAAGAGAGAUUCAAACACUGAGAUUUUUACGUGGUUCGGCCAACCUCGCCUACGUCCACGCCUCCAAGCUUUCCAGGCUUGAGGAUUUCACUAAGCAACCCUCCAAGCCUUCAAAUGCUUACACUUGACUUCCAAUGUGUCAAUGAACCUUUACAACAAGAGAUUAUCCUCAAUCUCUUAACCUAAGUGUAUCCCAACACUUACAAUCACUCAAAGUAAAAGAGUAAAAAUUAUUUUUCUCUCACACAAUAUUUAAGAUUACAAAUCAAUACCCAAUGUGUGAAUAGAUGAAGCAAGAAUGUGUUUUAAAGUUUUAUGAAGAUUGUAUUCUCGAAUAUAAGCUCAAUGGUCGUGUUGUGACCAAUCUUGUUUGAAUUUGAAUGAGCUUAUUUAUAGUUGGAGAUGAAAAACUAGCCGUUAUAGACUGUCUGCUCGCAAACGGUUCACCGUUAACCAUUAACGGUUAACCGUUUAGGCUUGGUCAAAGUUACCGUUGGACCAAUUUUUAAAUAAAUGUGUUAAACAGAAGUCCUACAGUGGCGGUCAAGAAUGUCACUCCUAAAGAAGCAUGGUCUGGUGUGAAACCUUCAGUGGAACAUUUUAGAGUCUUCGGAUGUGUGGCACAUGUUCACGUCCCAGACGCCAGGAGAACUAAGCUAGAUAACAAGAGUUUUGAAUGUGUGCUUUUGGGAUUUAGUGAGGAGACAAAAGGCUACAGGCUAUAUGAUCCCAUGGCUAAAAAAGUGGUGACUAGUAGAGACGUAGUAUUUGAGGAAGAUAGACAAUGAGAGUCGGACACUAGCUAUAAGGAACAAGUGUUGGUAGAUCUUGAGUGGGGUGAUGACAAGAAUAACACAGAUGAUGAGCAUGAGGCAGAAAGUGAUGAAAAUCUUGAAAUUGCUAGUGAAGGCAAUGAAGCUGUGCGAGAUGAAAAUCAUGCAGCCGAGAAUGUUGUACCUAAUCCGGUGAAUAUAGAAGGGUUUGAGGCUAGAGAUAGAAGGGUCAGACAGGUUCCUAUUUGGAUGAAAGAUUAUGACGGCAGUGAGGGACUAUCCGAGGAAGAAAUUGAGCUGAAUAUAGUUGUUAUUGCUUCCACAAAUCCUAUCAACUAUGAAUAGGCAGUGAAGAGUUCAAAAUGGAGAUCGGCAAUGGAAUCAGAGAUUCACUCCAUUGAAAAGAAUCAGACAUGGGAACUUAUUAACUUGCCAAUUGGUGCCAAAACCAUUGGAGUGAAAUGGAUUUAUAAAAUGAAAUUGAACGGACUUGGAGAGGUAGACAAGUACAAGGCUCGGUUGGUAGCAAAGGGGUAUUUUCAAUAACAAGGGGUAGACCUCACUGAAGUGUUUGCUUCAGUAGCUCGUAUGGAUACAAUGAGGAUGAUAAUGGCACUUGCGGCACAAAGAGGUUGGAAGAUUUACCAAUUGGAUGUAAAAUCAGCGUUUCUCCAUGGUGAACUCAGUGAAGACGUGUUUGUAGAGUAACCGGAAGGUUAUAAAAAAAAGGGGGAGUGAGCAUAAGGUGUAUAAGUUGCAUAAAGCUUUGUACGGUCUAAAACAAGCUCCACGAGCUUGGUUUAGCCGUAUUGAAGAUCAUUUUGUUAAUGAUGGAUUCCAGAAGUGCCCGAAUGAGCAAACUUUAUUCACCAAGAGGAGCAGUGAAUGUAAAGUGUUGAUAGUAAGUAUUUAUGUGGAUGAUCUUAUUUACACUGGUGAUGAUGAGAAUAUGAUGUUUGGUUUUAAGAAUUCUAUGAUGAAAGUUUUUUAUAUGACUGAUUUGGGGAGGAUGAGAUUCUUUCUUAGCAUUGAGGUGUUACAGAGGUCGGAUGGCAAUUUUAUUUGUCAAAAGAGGUAUGCCAUGGAAGUGUUGAAACGUUUUGGGAUGUUUGAAAGCAAGUCAGUAAACAUCCCAAUUGUGCCAGGUUUUAAAAUGAGUAGAGAUAAUCAUGGAGUCACAAUGGAUGAGACUUAUUUAAAAAAAAUAGUGGGCAGUUUGAUGUAUCUCACAGCGACUCGUCCAGAUAUGAUGUUCAGUAUCAGUUUGAUCAGCAGGUACAUGGCUAAACCCACUGAGCUUCACUUACAAGCUGCCAAAAGGAUUUUGAGAUACUUAAAAGGCAUAACAAAUUAUGGGAUUUUGAAUAAGAAGGGAGGGGAAGAAGAAGAGCUGCUUGCUUUCACGGAUAGUGACUAUGCAGGUGACAUAGAUGAUCGUAAAAGCACGUCUGGUUAUGUGUUUCUUUUAAGCUCAGGUGCAGUAUCAUGACUGUAAAAAAAGCAACCUAUAGUUACGAUGUCAACCACUAAAGCGGAAUUCGUGGCUGCUGCUGCUUGUGCCUGUCAGGCAAUAUGGAUGAGGAGAGUGUUAAAGUAGUUGGGACAUGAACAGAAGAGUUGCACCACUAUCAUGUGUGACAAUAGUUCAACAAUUAAGCUUUCAAGAAAUCUAGUUAUGCACGGAAGGAGCAAGCACAUUGAUGUACAGUUUCAUUUCUUGAGAGAUCUUACAAAAGAUGGUGUUGUUAAAUUAAUUCAUUGCGGAACUCAAGAGCAAGUGGCUGAUUUGAUGACAAAGUCAUUAAAGUUAGAAGCAUUUCAGAAACUCAGGAAGAUGAUGGGGGUGUGUGAAGUCACUGGUAUAAACUAAUGCAGUUUGCAUUUAGUUUAAGGGAGGGUAUGAAAGAGUCGUUUGGGUUUUACUUAGUCUGCUUUCUGUUUCAAUAAAUCAUAGUCUUUGGGGAUGUUGUUAUUUGACUUAUUCUUUGUUAAACACGUAGCUAAGAUAAUGGCUAACGUGUCCUAUUUAUAUGCUUUCUGUUAGUGCUGAAAAUGGCUAUUAAAAGCCAAGUUGAGUUUCAAUAAAAGAUGACAUUCAGUCCACUUUAUUAAGCUUUCGUUACUGCAGUCAAUUGAUUCUAAUAUUAGGUACUAUUUUUUAAAUGGUAUUUUCUAAAAGAGUAAUAAUAUAAUUACAAAUGAUAUUAUUAUACAAAAUGAUGGUGCAUAACAUGAUUGAUUUGAAUAAAGAUGUCUAGUAAUGAAAAAAAAAUCAUGUGACCUAUGUGGAAUUACAAAAAUAGUUUGCAAUAUUACACGAGUUUUUUUUUUUUAAUAAAAAAUUCCGUUAUAUAUAUAUAUAAUUUUGGCUCUAAUGGUCUAUCUCUGACUUUUAAAGAUUCAGGAGUGAUUAAAGUUUAUGUUGUUCUCUUUUUGCCCUUGUUCUCUCACUGUUUAUUUAUUUUUCUCCUCACAGUCUAUAUUUGACUUUGGUUAAUGACUAAAAAGAAUACCUACCCUGAAAAGUAACAUUCAAAAUCAUUUAUAAAAUUAUUUUUAAGUUAUAUUUAUAUUUAUGAUAAAAAUUGUAGAAAGUCACGUAAGUACUACGCUUUUUUCAGAAAGUCACCUAAGUACUACCAUUUUUUUUUUGUAUGAAGUCACUCAAGUACUACUUUUUUCUUUUUUUUUGUUUCCCAGGGAAUCAGUUAAGUUCUUGUUUUAGAAGGUCCUACCAAACACCUCUUUGAGUUUUGAUCAAUUCAAUUAUUGAGAACAAUUUUUAUUUCUCCAAAAAUCUAUUAAAAAAAAAGUACCUAACGCUCCAUUUCAUUUACCAAAUUUUCGAUGGACUCCAAACAGUGUUUCCUUAUCAAUAGCCACGAGUCAAAAUGAGCAGGCUAUAUAUGAGUAGCUUAUAAUGGACUUACAGAUUCUUCUACGUUUCAUCAUUUCCAGCUUCAUAACAAAAUAAUAAUAAUAAUGAUAAUAAAUAAAACAAUUGUUGCCGUCAAUUUAAUUUGUCAAAAGUGAUUUAGUGUUAUGAAGCAAGUGCGUGAGAAAUGCUACAGUACUUCACUUGCUACUUAAUAGGAAAAUUGAUUCCAAUCGCAUGCUGUAGUUAGCAAUGAAACUGAAAACGAUGAAUGAGUCAAUAACUCAUAUUCAGUGUUUCCAAAGGUGACCGAGUUAAUUAUUACAUCAUUUAAGAAUCAACUUAAAUUUGCCUCUUGUUAUUAUUCGAAUUCUGGCGAUUGUGCCAACCAAGCUGACUAGGGGGGUAUUAUCACAUAUUUAGUACUUCAUAAGGAAUCCAUGUAAGUAAAAUACUGUAAUCAGACUUCAAUCAGACAUGUAGUUGAGACAUAUGUACUUUAAAUUGAUACAUCGGAUCCGUCCGCGUAGGCAUUAGGUUGAGCUUUGGCUCUUAGUUGGACAAUUUGUAAUUGUACUAUAUCUAUAAUGUAUAUAAUAUUCACAAAAGAGAACUGGAGUGGAGCUAUUUAGACCCCUCCAUUAAUAUCUUCAAACCCCAAUUAUUAUUUUUAUUUUUACUAAAAUUUUACUGUUAACCAAAAUUACUGAAAUGGGAAUCAAAAUGCUUUACAAUUUCUAGACAUUCAUCCUCAACUCAAAAUACCAGCAGCCUCUACCCUUUCUGUUGCUUUUGAUUUGAUUUGAUCAACUAUUCAACUUUCAAAUUCUUCUCCACCAAUUUCUACAGCUAUUUCCCAAGUCCCUUCCGAAAAGAUCUUCGAAGAAAACUGAAAUUCGUAAAAACAAGUCUAUUUUCAAGGGGGAAGGAAUGAUACAAACUCUUAAAAUAAUUAAAAUUAUUUAAUUUUAUGUUAUUAGUUAAUUUUGAACUAGUCAAAAGUAAUUACACUUUGUAGAACUACAUGUAAGUAGUGGAGCAUUAUGUGAAAACAUGCUUAGUAUUACUAAUUCUUAAGUUGUAAUCUUAAAUAAACUUUAUUAUAUAAAACUUGAUGUUAUUCAAUAACAAGUAUCAUAAGUUCAUUAUUUUGGCAACGUAAAAAUUGUAAUUGAAAGUUUAUUGGUUUCUUAAAUAACCAAUACUUAUUUGGAAGUUUGGAUUUUCUCGAAUUAACUGAGUUUCCUCGAAUUAAUCCCAUUUGUCAUCUAAUUUUUCUGUUUUAUUUGAUUUCUCCUCCUAAACAUUAUUGUCCAUAUCACAAUGAAAUUCAGAUCAUUAGGCUGUCCCAAAAAAUUGGAGGGUUAAUUACUAAGCAUAUUCAGGAUUAUAGAUCACAAUGAGACCGAAAAUACAUGCUACACAGGGUAUGGAGACAGACAAAAAUUCAGGAAGAAAAAUGAGAAAAGAAAACCCUGUUAAGCAAAAGCAAAAUUUGUAAAAGGAAAGAAAAAUACAUCAAGAAUACAACCCACCAUUGACCUAUUUUCAAGCUUGUACGUUAUCUCUGACUCCACUGCAAUGUAAAAUGUUGUUGAGCUUUCGCAUUUGCACGAUGUCGUUCAUAGCAAUUCCCACUGCCGCUUUAACAAAUCAAUGCGGUCAGAUCAGUAGGGCCGCAAAUGCUGCUGAUAUCAGUAAAUGAAUUCUGGAAACUGGCAGGCUUGUAGCCCCAGAGAAGGGGCUUACAGGUCCGGACGCCACAGGAGGCAGAAACCCCCCUCUCGUGCUUGAAUGAGAGCUGUUUCAAGAUAUUAAAUGUUUAGAGCCACCCACAAUAGAUAAAUAAAUAGAACUACGGUUUAUAAUUCAGGACAGUUUAAAUGUAAAUAAAUUCAGAUUCUCACCUCCCUGCAUACGUACAGGAUCCGUAACCUGUAAGAAAGUAACCAAUGACACAAAAUCAGAAAAAAUAUAAGAAAAAUGAAUAGAAGGAAAUGAAAUGAAAGACAGAUAUAGAUUGCUCAGUACAAGAAACAGUGCAAGCUUAAUGAUGUAUAGUAGAAAGUCACGUAAGUACUACGCUUUUUUCAGAAAGUCACCUAAGUACUACCAUUUUUUUUUUGUAUGAAGUCACUCAAGUACUACUUUUUUCUUUUUUUUUGUUUCCCAGGGAAUCAGUUAAGUUCUUGUUUUAGAAGGUCCUACCAAACACCUCUUUGAGUUUUGAUCAAUUCAAUUAUUGAGAACAAUUUUUAUUUCUCCAAAAAUCUAUUAAAAAAAAAGUACCUAACGCUCCAUUUCAUUUACCAAAUUUUCGAUGGACUCCAAACAGUGUUUCCUUAUCAAUAGCCACGAGUCAAAAUGAGCAGGCUAUAUAUGAGUAGCUUAUAAUGGACUUACAGAUUCUUCUACGUUUCAUCAUUUCCAGCUUCAUAUAUAACAAAAUAAUAAUAAUAAUGAUAAUAAAUAAAACAAUUGUUGCCGUCAAUUUAAUUUGUCAAAAGUGAUUUAGUGUUAUGAAGCAAGUGCGUGAGAAAUGCUACAGUACUUCACUUGCUACUUAAUAGGAAAAUUGAUUCCAAUCGCAUGCUGUAGUUAGCAAUGAAACUGAAAGCGAUGAUUGAGUCAAUAACUCAUAUUCAGUGUUUCCAAAGGUGACCGAGUUAAUUAUUACAUCAUUUAAGAAUCAACUUAAAUUUGCCUCUUAUUAUUAUUCGAAUUCAGGCGAUUGUGCCAACCAAGCUGACUUGGGGGUAUUAUAGAAUAUUUAGUACUUCAUAUGGAAUCCAUGUAAGUAAAAUACUGCUUAAUCCAUGUAAUUAAAAUACAGUUUUCUCAAAUGCUUUCAUUUUACAAAGAGUAACAAUCUAAUAAUUAUAAUCAGACUUCAAUCAAACAUAUUGUUGAGACAUAUGUAUUUUAAAUUGAUACAUCGGAUCCGUCCGCGUAGGCAUUAGGUUGAGCUUUGGCUCUUAGUUGGACAAUUUGUAAUUGUACUAUAUCUACAAUGUAAUAUUCACAAAAGAGAACUGGAGUGGAGCUAUUUAGACCCCUCCAUUAAUAUCUUCAAACCCCAAUUAUUAUUUUUAUUUUUACUACAAUUUCACUGUUAACCAAAAUUACUGAAAUGGGAAUCAAAAUGCUUUACAAUUUCUGGACAAUCAUCCUCAACUCAAAAUACGAGCAGCCUCUACCCUCUCUGUUGCUUUUGAUUUGAUCAACUAUUCAACUUUCAAAUUCUUCUCCACCAAUUUCUACAGCUAUUUCCCAAGUCCCUUCCGAAAACGAUCUUCGAAGAAAAAUGAAAUUCGUAAAAACAAGAAGUCACUUUUAUUGUUUAUUCAUUGGUAUCAAAGUAACAAUACGUUGAGAAGAAACUUCUCUUAUCUUCUACAUAAAUUACUCUAUAUAGGGUGUGUUGGAGAAUUAACAAAUAAAACACACAAAAAACACACUAUUUUAUUUCUUCAACAACACUCCUCACCAAUUAAAACUCUUAUUUUUCACUCUCUACACCUUAGAGAUUUUGGUACUUCACUUGAUUCAUAAACCAAAGGGGAGAGAUGGUAUUUAUACAUUAAACAAACUAAUCACAACCAUUCAUUUAUUCAACUACUACACAAAUCCUCAUCAUUCAUUAAAACCUACCACUCACCUACUUCACCAACCACACCUAACACAAAUAAUUCAAACCUCACCAACCAUACCUACUCAUGGAAUCUUCCAUGAGUAGGGCUUGAAUUUAUUCAUUUUGGAUCAAGUUUAUGAUCCAACAAGGUGUUUCUUAACUUGUUAUUUGUUCUGACCUAGAAGAAAAACAAAGGUUCUCAAGGCCAUUCGGAGAAAUGAAGCUUGUUAUCAACAGUUAAUGAUCAAAGCCAAUACAAUCUGGAGAGUUUUGAUGUCCAUUUCAGUAGUUUUCGUUAAAAACAAAUUUGUAAUUAAACUGAAAAUACUAACCGGGGCUUUAUGAGAAUUAUUUAAAGCCGAAUGCAGAGCUGUUUAGAUUGGGGCUGAAAAAUAAAUAAACACUACCAUGAGCUCAAAAUUCUUUGCCGCUUGCUCACACAAAGUUAGCUGUGUUGCAUCAUCUGUAAAUAAGAGUGUACUGUUUUUACAAACAAAUAAGAGUGUACUGUUUUGCAUGGCUUGAGAGUGGCUUGGGAUUAUGGCUUUAGACGUCUUCAAGUGGGAGUGGAUAAUAAGAGCGUAGUGCAUCUUUUGGAAAGGGCUCAUCCUUCAACCAACGAAAAUGCAAUUCUUGUCAAAGCUAUUCGGGAAUUAUUAGCACGUGAUUAGAUCGUCCACAUGGAGCAUGUGUACAGAGAGGCAAAUAGUGCUGUGGAUUUCCUUGCUUCCUAUAGCCUAACUACACCCAUAGGCUUGCAUGUUCUUCUUUCUCCUCCCCCUGCUAUUGUUGGUUUACUUUGUAAUGAUACUUAUGGGAUUGCACACUCUCGUUUAGUAUUGCAUUAGCUCUUCGUGAGCCCUUCUUUAAUAAAAAAUAUAUAUUCUUUGUUUUAGAGUAGGACUCUAAAGUAAAAAUAUUAUUACGUUCUUUUUCACACAACACUAAAAACUAAAAAAACCCUUAAAUCUAAAUUAAUUACUUACAGCAAACAAUGGCUAUUUAAGUUUUGAAAACUCUGUCAUUUAUCUCAAUGUAUUUUUUGUACUAAAAAAGUAUUUUUCAUACAAUAAGAAUAGUACUAUUUGAAAUAAAUAUCGUGACAUUGAUCUUUAACCAAUUAAGUACUCAUUAAUAUGAUUAUUAAGCUUCAAGUAAAUUUAGAAAAUGUGUCUGUGGCAUGAUAUAUCAAGAAAUUUAUUGGCUACGAAAUAUAUGUUAUUUAUCUCAUGAAAUUAUUAGUUAUGUGAAGGAUUUAAUUUAUUAAUUGCUUAAAUAAUGUCCCCAUCAAGAAAAAAAAAAUGGAAACAAAAUUGACUAGAAAAAAAAAUUGAAAAUAUCCUUUGUGUAAUUAUAAACAAUUGUGGCAAUAAAGUAAAAUACCAUUUCACUACAAAUAUCGCACCAUGCAAGGACACAUUAAUUUGUACACAUUCUUUUGCACCAAGUAUUUGUAGCAUGUCAUAUAUUCAUAAGAGUGUGUGUGCGUGUCUAUAUAUAUAUUCGCCAACUACUCUACUAUUGAUUGAUCACUCCUUAACCCCAAACCCAAGAAGGAAAGAUUCAGGAAAGUCGAUUGGCGUGAAACGAUAAAAGCUUAUUUAAUGAUAGGUCAGGCCUUCAGAAAGACUUUUUUGUACCAUCUUAAUCUUUUAGUUUUCACUUUAAAAAAAAAAAGUAAGACAGUAAAGUAACAAAAAGAAAUUACAUUAGAAAUUUCCUUUGUUUAUGAAAAGUACAAAUGCAUCAAUGUAGUACAAAUAGGCAUUAAUGAUGUAACUAGUUGCAACAUCACUAAAUAUAAACCAUCCAUCUUGCAGGGCUAAGUCUCCAAGAUAAAAUGGCACCAACUAAUGGCUCUAUCCUCGCAACUGAGUCCUGGGAUAUUGCUGAUUUUGUUAUAAACACAGGUCAUGGAGUCAAGGGUCUCGCCGAAAUGGGACUCAAAAGCCUCCAAAAACAAUUUCACCAACCCUUACAAGAAAGACUCAGUGAGAAGAAAAUCUUGGGUCAAGUAUCAAUUCCCUUCAUUAAUAAGUUAAAAUGGGAGAGUCCUGAAGUCGCAAAAUCCAUUUGCGAUGCCGCUGAGAGUUGGGGAUUUUUCCAGAUUGUGAAUCAUGGUGUGCCCCUGUAAGUACUCGAGACAGUAAGGGAAGUGUUUUAGACAGAUUUUAGGUGCAAAGGAAAAAAAGAAAAACCUAUCUAAAACAAUAAAUUUAUUUUAUAGGACAACCAGAGUACCUCAUUAGGUCGUUGUUUGUGAUAUUUUUAAGAUCCGAAAAGAGGUAAGCAGAGUGGGGGGAUGGUGAUGACAGUGAGAGGUUGAAAUCUGGAGAUGAGGUCUCUUAAGGUGAGCUUUUAACCUGCAAAACAAUGCAAAUAAGGUUAGAGGUGAAGCCAUGGUGCCCCGGCAUUCACUUCGAUGCUCAAGUCAACAACUGAAGCUUUCUUAUGGUGACGCAAGCUUGCCAACCCUCUGAAAUCGUGGUUUAAGAUUGAAGAAGGCUUUUUGUGGAGUAUGUGUGAUCAUAAAUGAUGAAAAUAAACCUAGAUGUCUUUAUAUAUAUAGUACAUUGGCUGCCACGUGGCGUAUUUUCAAUGGUUUUUGGUUGUCCUUUUACCUUUUUAUGAUUUUGGGCCAUUUGGGAGCAUGCUUGAGGCGCAAGAAGGCGUUUCAUGACAUAUUUUAUCCCUUUGGAUACGUGGCGUAGGCUGGAGAGUGGUCCGAAGUACCUCAACAAAAGUUGUCUGGUAAGGCGGCUAAGGACCACUAUCCUAGGGGCAGCGUCCUUCACUUUUUGACAGUGGUGAUAGUCGGCUGUCACUACUUUUUCGACAUGAUAUUUUGAUAUCUAAUUUUUACAAAAUCCAAUAUUAUAUUUUAGGCGAUGGAGACGUUUCUCAUGACCAACUUUUUAGAUAUGUUUCCUUAAUUGUUUCGCUUAUGAUCUAUUGAGUACCUUGGGUACCGAGUUUUGUGGGGGUAGGCCGAGUACCCCGGGUACCGAGUUUUGGGGGGUAGGUCGAGUACCCCGGUUACUGAGUUAUAAGGGGUAGAUCGGAUACCUCAGAGGUGUACAGUGAUUGUCAUGGAGCCUCAUUGACACGUGGCAUUCUACUACAAUCUUUUCUGUUUCUUCCCAAACAUGAAGCAACUCACAGGUUUUUUGUGUAACCAGCAGAGGAGAAGAGGAAGUACUCAAAGGAGAAUUCACCAACCAAUAAUGUCAGGUUCGGCUCAAGCUUUGUUCGUCAUGUGGAAAGGGCUCUAGAUUGGAAAGACUCUCUGAGCCUGUUUUAUGUUUCUGAGGAAGAAACUGCUGCUUUUUGGCCUCCUGUUUGCAAGCAAGUGCCAAUAAAUACAUGAAUAUUUUAAAUGUACUGUUUAAAAUUGAAGUUGGCAACUAUAGCUUAUAAGCUAUAACAUUAAAGUACUUGGUAAAAAAUAAUUGUUAUGACUUGGAAAUAAAAUUAAUUUCAUCCACCACUUGUAUGAUGAAGAACUUAUAAUAUAUUCAUUAUUUUUCUCAAACUUAUUAUUUAAAAGUCAUAUUUACUAACCACUGACUUUUAUUUACUGUUUUUUUUUUAAAACAACAAACUAUAUCUUUUAAGUUAGAGCAUUUGAAAGCCAAAUAAGGCCAAGAUUGUGGACUAAAUGUUACGAUUUUGUUUUUUUUUUCUUUCGGCCUGUAGGGAUGAAAUGCUGGAGUACAGGAAGAGUUCUGAAGUUCUCAUCAAACGUUUAAUGCAUGUGCUAGUCAAGGGGCUAAACGUCAAAAGAAUUGAUGAAAUAAGAGCCCUUAUGUUGUUGGGUUCAAGAAGAGCAACCUCAACUACUAUCCUAUGUGUCCGAAUCCUGAACACACAGUGGGAGUAGGCCGUCAUUCAGAUAUUUCAACAUUCACUAUCCUCCUCUAGGAUGACAUCGGGGGACUUCACGUGCGAAAAGACAAUGUUAAUGGCUGGAUUCAUGUCUCUCCAAUUAGCGGAUCAUUCAUUAUCAACAUUUGAGAUGCAUUGCAAAUCAUAAGAAACGGUCGAUACAAGAGUUUUGAGCACUAUGUGAUUGGCAAUGGAAGCCAGAACAGGAUUUCGGUCCCCCUUUUCGUGAACCUGAAACCUGAAGCCAUACUCUGUCCUUUUCCUAAAGUUCUUGCAAAUGGGGAGAAGCCACUGUAUAAGCCAGUUCUGUGCGCAGACUAUUCCAGGCAUUUCUAUACCAAGGCACAUGAUGGGAAAACUAUCGACUUUGCAAAGAUAAGCAACGUUUGCGAUGAAAAUAUGUGAAUGCCUAGCCAAUUGUUAUCUUGAUAAAAAUAAAGGUCAUGAAGGUUGAAUUCCAUGACUAAUGUUGAGACCAGUUCUUCACUCCUGGAUAUCAAAAUAUAUGCGUUGUUUUAAGGUUUUACUCAUGUUGCAACACUCUAUGAUUCAAUUUUUCAUUUCAAUAAAUUGAAUUUGUCUUUAUUCACAUUGUUUUCCUAGCUAGUUUAGUAUUUUCUUGUUUACGUAUUUAUCAUCCUUAUCUGUUUUCCAGAGCCAAUAUAAAGGCUCUACAUUGUACAAUUUUAUGACUCACAUAAACUGUAGGACUUAAGGUGCUAUAAACAAAUCAAACAACCUCAGAUCCUGCCCAAGAUCACCAACCAAAUUUACCAAGAUGCUUCAAGAUUGAUGACUGAAGAAUUUGACUAAGUUUAAUCAAUGGAAUGUGACGACUAACCAACAAACUAUAUUUACUGUUUUUACUGUAAAUAAUAUAUUCAUUAUUUUUCUCAAACUUAUUAUUUAAAAGUCAUAUUUACUAACCAUUGACUUUUAUUUACUGUUUUUUUUAAAACAACAAACUAUACCUUUUAAGUUACACCACUUGAAAGCCAAACAGGGCCUAAGAUUGUGGACUAAACGUUACGAUUUUGUUUUUUUCUUUGGGCUUGUAGGGAUGAAAUGCUAGAGUACACGAAGAGUUCUGAAGUUCUCAUCAAACGUUUAAUGCUGUGCUAGUCAAGGGGCUAAACGUCAAAAGAAUUGAUGAAAUAAGAGCCCUUAUGUUGUUGGGUUCAAGAAGAGUCAACCUCAACUACUAUCCUAUGUGUCCGAAUCCUGAACAUACAGUGGGAGUAGGCCGUCAUUCAGAUAUUUCAACAUUCACUAUCCUCCUCCAGGAUGACAUCGGGGGACUUCACGUGCGAAAAGAUAAUGGUAAUGGCUGGAUUCAUGUCUCUCUAAUUAGCAGAUCAUUCAUUAUCAACAUUUGGGAUCCAUUGCAAAUCAUAAGCAAAGGUCGACACAAGAGUAUUGAGUACUGUGUGAUUGCCAAUGGAAGCCAGAACAUGAUUUUGGUCCUCCUUUUCGUGAACCCGAAACCUGAAGGCAUACUCUGUCCUUUUCCUGAAGUGCUUGCAAAUGGAAAGAAGCCAUUGUAUAAGCCAGUUCUGUGAGCAGACUAUUCUAGGCAUUUCUAUACCAAGGCACAUGUUGGGAAUAAAACUAUCGACUUUGCAAAGAUAAGCAACGUUUGCGAUGAAAAUAUGUGAAUGCCUAGCCAAUUGUUAUCUUGAUAAAAAUAAAGAGCAAGGUCUUGAAGUUUGAUUUCCAAGACUAAUGCUGAGACCAGUUCUUCACUCCUGGAUAUCAAAAUAUAUGCGUUGUUUAAGGGUUUUACUCAUGUUGCAACACUCUAUUUACUGAAUUCAAUUUGUCAUUUCAAUAAAUUGAAUUUGUCUUUAUUCACAUUGUUUUCCUAGCCAGUUUAGUAUUUCUUGUUUACGUCAUAUUUAUCAUCCUUAUCUGUUUUCCAGAGCCAAUAUAAAGGCAUCUGCAUUGUACAAUUUUAUGACUCACAUAAACUGUAGGACUUAAGGUGCUAUAAACAAAUCAAACAACCUCAGAUCCUGCCCAAGAUCACCAACCAAAUUUACCAAGAUGCUUCAAGAUUGAUGACUGAAGAAUUUGACUAAGUUUAAUCAAUGGAAUGUGACGACUAACCAACCAGAAUCAAAGAAAAAAAAAGAUAUAGAAUGAACAAAGAACAAGAGAGAUUUUACGUGGUUCAGCGGGAUUUCUCUAACUUACAUCCACCGGAAGGCAAAUAUGAUCAGUCUUAUUGAUUCUCAAGAUGAUUUACAGAGCAAUGCCAUGAGCUACAAUACAAGAUCUGGACUCCUCAUUUAUACCAGCCCUUUCUCUCUCUAUAGCUCUCUAAUCACCCAAAACCGUUGAACCAGAACCAGCUGCUUCACCACAGCUUCAUAACGAACCCAGAGCAUUCCCAGCAACUCACGUGAGUUCCUUGUGCAUUAACGGCAUUUAACGAACCUUGUGAGCUGUUUACAAACACGUGAUAUUCACUUGCUUAACUCAAAGCUAUACGGUACACUUAUAUGUCGUUUCAAGGAGUGUUUUAUUUGCUCAUCAAAACGCACGUAUUUCUUGUCGUUUGGCUUAAGUGAUUCCAGCUUCAAAACACAAGAUCCUCUGUCGUUUUGAAUCUCUGGAUUUGCUUCCAUACUCAACAUAAACCUAUUGUUUUAUCUAAGAAAGACUUUGGUUGAAGGAAUCGGCCUACCAUAAAAGAUAGUCAAUGAACCUUAUCUCAUUGGCAUGUUAGUACAUAAGUUUAGACAUAAUCUAUUUAUUUUCGGCUAAAAUUAUUCAUAUAUUUGUAAGUAUUAGUUAACUUAAAUCAAUUUUAAAUUAUACCAAGCUCCGAAAUGUCAGAUUUGGAAUCGGCGAGCUCCUCCUAUGGGCUAAAUAAAGAUAAAUUGUAAUAGCUUCUCAAAAGGAAAUCCAGGUGAUGCUACUUGUGGGGCUAUUUUUGGGGAUCAUCUUUAGGGGCACGUAGGCAGUUUUGGUUUGUUCUUAAGUCAUGAGUCGGCUUUUUUAACCGAACUUAUGCCAACAGUCGGAUAAGACUUUGGCUUCAGGGGGAUUCAUUGGUGGUGGUUUAUUGCUUUAAGCGUAAUGACUUUAAUUCGCCAUAAACUCUUUGAAUUAUAUAAUAUUUCAGAGAUAAUACAACUAAUUAAUGCAUAUAUUAUAUGUGUAAUUAAAUUUAAUAUAAUCACCACUUGUAUUCUUUAAUUGUCAAUGUGGGAAGACCAUUCUUCCAAUAAUCUAUAUAAUAAAACCUCAUAUUUAAUUGAGUACAACUCUUUGAUAUUUUAUAUCAUAUAUGUUAAUCAAUUUUAUUAUAGUUUGUGAUGUUUUUAUAUGAAAAAUAUUCAUAAAAAUUAUGAAGAUAAAUAAUGCUAAUUUGAGCAAAAUAAAAAGAUAAAAAUAAUAAUAGUCUGCCACUAUAUAUUAUCACAAGUUAUAUACAGAUGGGUAAUAAUGCUAAUUAUUAAAUUUUAUUUAGUUAAGGAUGAUAAUUAAUUAAUUAGAUAGGAAUAUUUUGAAAAAUAUCUUUUAAUGAUAGCAUUCAAACUUUUUAGAUUAAAUAAAAAGCUAAAAAAAUUAGUUUAAUAACUUAAUGACUUAAUUGCUGAAAAUCUUUAUUAAGUUGAAAAAACAAAUAGACUUAAUGACGUAACUAACUAAAAUUAAGUCAAUUAACUCAUUAAGUAAAAAAAACAAACAAACCAUUAUAAAAUAAGUCAUCUUACCUUUUUAAACUUCCUAUUUUGAACCUUUAAUAUUUUAACAGAAUGACAAUUAUGUCUUUUUUUUUCAUAAACCAUAAUAUAUAAAUUAACUAUCAGAUAUCACAUUAUUAUCAGCAUAAUCAAGUUACCCCAAUAGCAAUUAGAUCAUCGCAAUCAUGGCAUUGCACAAUUAUAUCAAGAGGCAUGCACAAUGUGAUCUUUAUUUUGACAACAUUGAAAAUAAUUCUAGUUUAAUCAUUGAUGAAGGCAUAAAAAGAGAUAAUGACACUUCAAAAGAGUAUCACUAUACUAAUGUCUCUAGAUCACAAUAAAUGAAAAUUUUAAGGAAUAUUAUUACAACAAGUUUAAUGUGAAUAUAAUGCAUAUUAGUUUUUAUUUUUAAUGGAUUAUAUAGUAGCAUGAAUUUUUAUCAUAUUUUAUGUAACAAAUUAUGAAGUUCAUUAGAUUAUAUUUAAUUAAGUCUUUUUUUUUCACUUUAUGUGACUUUACAUAUUAAAAAGAAAAGGCAUCUCUAAACAAUUUAUUAAAUAAAAUUUAAAAAUCUGGAUAUAGCCUGCAUCUUCCAAGAAAAAUCUAGAUCUGUAUAUUAAAAAAUGUGGAUCCAGAUGUGGAAAGUUGUGAUCCACACGGAUCCGAAUUCGGAUCUAGAUGUAAGUGCAUCCAGAAAACUAAAUAUCUAGAUCCGGUUAAAUUUUAUUUUAAAUGAAAAAUCAAAUUAAAAACAUAUAUUAAAAAUUAAAUUUUAUUUAUGGAUUUAUGAUUUUGUAUGUUAUUCAUGUUAAAUUAUUAAUUAUUGAAUUUUAUUUUAUACUAUUAAGUAAAUUAUUGAGUUUUAAAUUAUAUAUUAAAUUAUUAAUUUUUUUAUUUUUUGGAUCCAGAUAUAUGAAAUAUCCACCUACAUCUGUUUGCAAGUAUUACCCACAUCUAGAUUCACAUUUUUUUUUCAAAUUUGGAUGUGGAUUUGGAUAUAGAAAAAUAAAUAUAGAUCUAGAUCCGGAUGCACUUAUAUAUAUGUGGAUCCGGAUCCGAAUUUUGCCAAUCCUAGGCAAUAGUCUAACCUCAACGAAGAAAAAUUCUUUAAGAGCCACAAAGUUUUAUGAUUUGUUAUAUAAGAACGUGAAUUUCAUUAUUUUUAUAGUAUGUCCUAGAUUCGAUCUCUCCUAAAAUAAUUGAAAUACCUUUUAUACUUACGUUACUCUUACAAGGGAUUUUUAAAUUCAAUAUGAAAGGAGUAAUUUACCAUUUCAAUUGAACAAAGCAUAUCUUUAUUGAAGAAAAUAAAGACACUAUUGUCACUAGUAAUGGAAUGUUACAAAAUCGCCACAAUUGAUGAAUAUAUAGUAAUAACUUUUUCAUGGUUUAUUUCCUUUACAAUUAGACUUGCUCCUUCUUUAAUAAUUGUAUCAAAUUAUUCUAUUAUUUCACCUACUCUCUAUUAUUGAAAUUAAAAAAGAAUUUCAAGAAAUAAUAUUUCAUGAUACGUACAAUUUUAUAAUUUCUAUUAUAAUUACGUUAACCAUCUCCAAUGCAUAACACCAUUUUGGCAUAACACCAACACUAAAAAUGUACAUUUUUCACAUCAAAUUACUAUUUCAUCUCUAACUCAUUUAAACCAAAAAAAAUAUUCUUCUUUUAUUCCUUUAAUUCUCAAGAAUUAAUUCAAUUAACACAAUAAAUAUUACUAUUAAUAUAGAUAAUUAAGUAAUAAGUAAUUUUAUAUCGAUUAACAAAAAAAAUAUAGAAAAUUAUUAAAUUUGCAUUUAAUUAACUAAAUUAGUACAUUAUGAAAAUUAAACAUUACAUUAGUAUAGAAAAAUACAAUAACAAUAAAUAACAACAAUAAUGAUCUUGGAGGAUCUAAUAAUGAUCUCCCACAUUACUAAAUAAUUGUUCUAAUUUAUGCUAGUAGUAGUAGCUUUUUUAAUUUGUGUUAAUUUAAUUUUGUAUUUUUAAUUUUGUAAUAUGUAAUCUAGUAAUUAAUGUUAUUGACAUUUUAUUUUUAUUACUAAUUUUUUAGUUGAAUAUUUUUUAUUUAAAAUAUUAGUAUAAUAUUGAAAAAUUAAAAAAAUAACAAAAAUAAUAAUAAUAACUUAAAAUAUUAUAUAAAAUAGGACAUAUAUGUAAAUAAGAUAAUGUAAUAAGGAUAUUUGAGACUUUUUAUUCGUAGCACCAAAUAUGGUGCAAAUGAAUAGUGUUGCACCAUAUUUGGUGCAAUACUAUUCAUUACACCAUUUUAGUGUUAUAUUAGAGAAACAUUUUACACCAAAAUGGUGUAAAAUGUGAUUUGAUGUUUGGUUUAGUGCUACAUUGGAGAUGCCCUUAUAAGUUAAUUUUUCAUAUUUUUUCUUUUUUUUAAUUUUUAACACACACACACACACACACACACACACACACACACACACACACACAUAUAUAUAUAUAUAUAUAUAUAUAUUGUUAAGAGUAAGGUUCGUGAUGUUUAAUUUGUUACUAUAUAUUUUGCUGCUUCAACUGUACCGGACAGUAGAACAAAUACCUACAAUCAAUUUUAAUUUAGCCAUGUUUUAUUCAAAACCUGGAUCCAUCCAAAUUUAAACAUUUAGACUUAAGCUUGAACUGGGCUUGAGGUUGAAGACAAAUACCAGAGUAUCAUUAUACCAUAAGGACGUAACAUCAUAAUUACGAUCAUGACACCAAUAAAGUUCUAAAAAUAAAUAUCUAUAAGGUUUCUGGUAACUUCAAAAAGAUCUCGUAAAGUGUCAGAAAAAACAUGCACAGAACACAAAUACAAUUUAUUUAUAUGACAAAUAGAAACAAGUACAUAGAGCUUUGAAGCCAGAAAAAAACCCUUCAUAACAAUAAAUUUAUUUUUCCAUAGCAGGAGUGAAGAACUGGCCUCAGCAUUAUUCACUGAAUCCCACCUUCAUCUCCGUGCACUUUAUUUUCAUCAAGAUAACAAUUAGCUAGGCAUUCACUUAUUUUCAUCUCAAAUGUCGCUUAUCUUUGCAAAGUCGAUAGUUUUCUUCCCAUCAUGUGCCUUGGUAUAGAAAUGCCUGGAAUAGUCUGCGCACAGAACUGGCUUAUACAGUGGCUUCUCCCCAUUUGCAAGCACUUCGGGGAAAGGACAGAGUAUGGCUUCAGGUUUUGGGUUCACGAAAAGGGGGACCGAAAUCCUGUUCUGGCUUCCAUUGGCAAUCACACAAUGCUCAACACUUUUGUAUCGACCAUUGCUCAUGAUUUGCAAUGCAUCACCAACGUUGAUAAUGAGUGAUCCGCUAAUUGGAGCGACAUGAAUCCAUUCAGUACCGUUGUCUUUUCGCACGUGAAGUCCCCCGAUGUCAUCCUGGAGGAGGAUAGUAAAUGUUGAAAUAUCUGAAUGACGGCCUACCCCAACUGUGAGUUCAGGAUUGGGACACAUAGGAUAAUAGUUGAGGUUAACUCUUCUUGAGCCCAACAACAUAGGUUCUCUUAUUUCAUCAAUUCGUUUCACGUUUAGCCCCUUUACUAGCACAUGCAUUAAACGUCUGAUGAGAACUUCAGA